rnacentral:rRNA from 1 species
UACGUAGGGUGCAAGCGUUAAUCGGAAUUACUGGGCGUAAAGCGUGCGCAGGCGGUGAUGUAAGACAGUUGUGAAAUCCCCGGGCUCAACCUGGGAAUUGCAUCUGUGACUGCAUCGCUAGAGUACGGUAGAGGGGGAUGGAAUUCCGCGUGUAGCAGUGAAAUGCGUAGAUAUGCGGAGGAAUACCAGUGGCGAAGGCGGCCUUCUGGUCCUUAACUGACGCUGAAGCGCGAAAGCAUGGGGAGCGAACGGG